rnacentral:rRNA from 1 species
AUGACCCUAAAACCCAAAAAGCUACACGAUCUGUCUACACGGGAUCCGGUGACCCCCCUCCCCACCAACGUCCGAGAGGUCAUUGGCGGAGGGGAGUUACGAAGGACAGUGCCGGAAGACGGCCCCCUCGAAGCCCUAGUUGCCCUAGCUGCCGCUAGAGGUUUUAGGUUUUCAGGGAAAAUACCGAGGGUUUCCUGGCCGCGCCCCCUCCUCCUCCUCUCCCCCACGCUCGAUUUGUGUCGGAUUUUCGCGUGCUUCACUGAUUUGGCCAUCGUGACGACGCUGCGCCACAUCAAGGACAAGGCUCACAAGGACGGCCAGAAGAAGACCGAGCAGGCCAUCUCCAGGGUUCAGUGGCUACGAGUACCUGGAGUCCUGAACCUGCUGCCUGCCCUGAAUCCAAACCUUCUGCAUGCCCUGUAUCUGAACCUGCUGCUUCAGGAGUCUGUAAUUGGAUGUGAACUAGGAAUUACCAGUGUCAUGUUGUUUGUGAACGAUCAGGUGAUGAUUGAAGUAGUAGAUAUUGGAAGUCUAUGUUCGCAUCACCAAAGUAGCAGGACAGCACCCCGUUGUUGUCAGGUUGUUUGUGACUGCUUAGGUCUCACACUGGAAAUCUGUGUUCGCAUCUCCAAAUUAGCAGGGCAGCAUACCAUGGUUUUCCUGAUUGGUCAUGACUGCUUAGGUCUUGCAUUUGAUCAUAAACUUAUAAGGAAGCAUAGCAUACAUGAUCACCGUGGCUCAAAAUUUGAGCCUUUCCUGUCUGACAAAGGUCCCAAGUUAUGUCUAUUGCACACAUUUCAGCUGCUGAUUUUUUUCUCAAAGUUUGAAGUUGAAAAGGAGAAGCUGAUAGUUCAGUAUGAGCUGCAAAAGAAGCUAGCAGAUGCAGAAGAAUCUCUGAAGAAGUUGAAUCAGGGUAGGGUGACAAAUCCAUCAUCAAGCUUCGCUAGUCCUUUGCCUCGUUCCUGGGCCCCCGGUGACGAGGACUGA